rnacentral:lncRNA from 1 species
CUUAGUACUCAAAGAUGAGUACUUCUCGCCCAUCUCCGAAUCUAGCUCGUCCCGGGGCAAAUGUUCCUCGACCAUUCUUCAUAAAAUGGAUGGUUGAGCGACGAAAUUUCAAUAUGGGUCGAGGAAAUAUGUCAUUUGACCGAUGGAAAUGAAGCUAGGGCGUUUCGGGAAGGCUCUCGUCGGACUCCGACAAAUUGGCUCGACCGUUUUCAAAAUUGUCUCGACCAAACAUCAUGAAAUACCCAUAAGUACGGUGAAUCUCGAAGAUGGUACAGGGAAUUAUGAGUUUGGG